rnacentral:rRNA from 1 species
GAUGAACGCUGGCGGCGUGCUUAAUACAUGCAAGUCGAGCGAAUGGAUUAAGAGCUUGCUCUUAUGAAGUUAGCGGCGGACGGGUGAGUAACACGUGGGUAACCUGCCCAUAAGACUGGGAUAACUCCGGGAAACCGGGGCUAAUACCGGAUAACAUUUUGAACCGCAUGGUUCGAAAUUGAAAGGCGGCUUCGGCUGUCACUUAUGGAUGGACCCGCGUCGCAUUAGCUAGUUGGUGAGGUAACGGCUCACCAAGGCGACGAUGCGUAGCCGACCUAGGAGGGUGAUCGGCCACACUGGGACUGAGACACGGCCCAGACUCCUACGGGAGGCAGCAGUAGGGAAUCUUCCGCAAUGGACGAAAGUCUGACGGAGCAACGCCGCGUGAGUGAUGAAGGCUUUCGGGUCGUAAAACUCUGUUGUUAGGGAAGAACAAGUGCUAGUUGAAUAAGCUGGCACCUUGACGGUACCUAACCAGAAAGCCACGGCUAACUACGUGCCAGCCGCCGCAGUAA